GUGAAUCAUCGAAUUUUUGAACGCAAAUUGCACUCUCUUCUGAUAGUAUGCCCGUUUGAGGGUCAGCCUAAAAAAAAAUCGACAUAGUCGCUGUUUCGCGCUGACAUUCGUCGGAAAUUGGGUCAUCUUAAUUCUUUUGGUUUUAAUCUGCAUUAAAUUUUCUUUACGAUUCUAGAAUCGUUUUUUAGAUUUACUUCUUAUACGUGUAAGUUAUCGAUCUUUAUUUGACGUGUCCUUUGCAUCGGUUCUCGUCUAAAAAUAUUU
rnacentral:misc_RNA from 1 species